rnacentral:rRNA from 1 species
GACGAACGCUGGCGGCGUGCCUAAUACAUGCAAGUUGAGCGAUGAAGCUUGGUGCUUGCACCAAUUUGAAGAGCAGCGAACGGGUGAGUAACGCGUGGGUAAUCUGCCUUUGAGCGGGGGACAACAUUUGGAAACGAAUGCUAAUACCGCAUAACAACUUUAAACAUAAGUUUUAAGUUUGAAAGAUGCAAUUGCAUCACUCAAAGAUGAUCCCGCGUUGUAUUAGCUAGUGGGUGAGGUAAAGGCUCACCAAGGCGAUGAUACAUAGCCGACCUGAGAGGGUGAUCGGCCACAUUGGGACUGAGACACGGCCCAAACUCCUACGGGAGGCAGCAGUAGGGAAUCUUCGGCAAUGGACGAAAGUCUGACCGAGAAACGCCGCGUGAGUGAAGAAGGUUUUCGGAUCGUAAAACUCUGUUGGUAGAGAAGAACGUUGGUGAGAGUGGAAAGCUCAUCAAGUGACGGUAACUACCCAGAAAGGGACGGCUAACUACGUG